UACAGAGGUCUCAAGCGUUGUUCGGAUUCAUUGGGCGUAAAGGGUGCGUAGGCGGCGCGGUAAGUCGGGUGUGAAAUCUCGGAGCUUAACUCCGAAACUGCAUUCGAUACUGCCGUGCUUGAGGACUGGAGAGGAGACUGGAAUUUACGGUGUAGCGGUGAAAUGCGUAGAUAUCCUAAGGAAGACCAGUGGCGAAGGCGGGUCUCUGGACAGUUCCUGACGCUGAGGCACGAAGGUCAGGGGAGCAAACGGG
rnacentral:rRNA from 1 species